rnacentral:rRNA from 1 species
CAUGGCGCACGGGUGCGUAUAAUAUAAGAACUUACCCUAAAGUAGGGGAUAAAAUACCCUAUAAUCCUUACGAGGCAAAGAUUUAUCGCUUUAGGAGAGGCUUAUACUGGAGUAGAUAGUUGGUAAGGUAAUGGCUUACCAAGUCAAUGAUCCAUAGCUGGUCUGGAAGGAUGAACAGCCACACAGGGACUGAGACACGGCCCUGACUCCGAUUGGAGGCAGCAGUGAGGAAUCUUGGGCAAUGAGGGAAACCUUGACCCAGCUAUGCCGCGUGAAGAAAACUUUGUUUUCUUCUGUCGUUGGGGAAGAUAAUGACGGUACCCAACUAAUAGAGGUUACCAAUCACGUGCCAGCAGUAGCGGUAAUACGUGAACCUCGAGUGUUACUCGAAUUAACUGGGCGUAAAGAGUUCGUAGACUGCUUUGUAAGUCAUUUGUUAAAUUUCGGGGCUUAACCCCGAGCCUGCUUAUGAUACUGCAUUGCUAGAGAUCGAAAGGGGAAAGCAGAAUUCCAUUUUUAGUGGUUAAAUACGUUGAGGAAUGGAGGAAUACCAAUGGCGAAGGCAGCUUUCUGGUGCGAUUCUGACGUUGAGGAACGAAAGUGUGGGGAGCAAACAGGAUUAGAUACCCUGGUAGUCCACACUGUAAACGAUGAGGGCUAGGUGUUGCAUUUUUAUUGCAGUGCCGUAGCUAACGCGUUAAGCCCUCCGCCUGAGGAGUACGGCCGCAAGGCUAAAACUUUAAUGAAUUGACGGGGAUCUAUACAAGCGGUGGAACAUGUGGCUUAAUUUGAUGGUACGCAACAAAUCUUACCAGCUCUUAACUAUGUUCAUUAAAACCUAAUGAGAAUUAGGUGUUUUUAGUUCGCUAAAAGGUGAUCAAUAGGUACUGCAUGGCCGUCGUCAGCUCGUGCCGUGAGGUGUAGGGUCAAGUCCCAUAACGAGCGCAACCCUUACUCUCUGUUGCUACCAGGUAAUGCUGUGCACUCUGGGAGAACUGCAGAUGUUAAGUCUGAGGAAGGAGGGGAUGAGGCCAGGUAUCAUGGUCCUUAUGGGCUGGGCUGCACAUGUGUUACAAUGGUAUGGACAAUAGGAAUGCAAUAGAGUGAUCUGGAGCCAAUCCAUAAACCAUAUCUUAGUCCGGAUGGAAGUCUGCAACUCGGCUUCCUGAAGUUGGAAUCGCUAGUAAUCGUGGAUCAUCAUGCCACGGUGAAUAAGUUCUUAGAUCUUGUACACACCGCCCGUCA